rnacentral:lncRNA from 1 species
CGAGGAGAGGGAUAGCUGGAUCAAAUGGUGGUUCCAUUCCCAGUUUUCUGAGGAAUCUCCACACAUAUUGGCUGCACCAAUUUGCAGUCUCACCAGCAAUGUAUGAGAGUACCGUUGUCCCCACAUCCUCGCCAACACUUAUUGUUGUCUGUGUUCUUGAUGAUUGCCAUUCUGACAGGAGUGAGAUGAAAUCUUAGUUUUGAUUUGAUUUCUCUAAUUGCUAGUGAUGUUGAACCCUUUUUCAUAUAUUUGUUGAUCAAUUGUAUUUCUUCUUCUGUGAAGUUUCUGUUCUGUUCCUUAGCCCAUUUAUAGAUUGGGUUAUUUAUUUGUUUGUUUGUUUGGUGUUGAGUUUUUUAAGUUCUUUAUGUAUCCUAGAGAUUAAUGCUUUUUUGGAGGUGCGUGUGGUAAAGAUUUUCUCCCAAUCUGUAGGCUCUCUCCUCACGUUAUUGAUUGUUUCCUUUGCUGAGAAGAAGCUUUUUAAUUUGAAUCAUCCCAUUUAUUGAUUCUUGAUUUUACUUGCUUUUUAGGAGUCUUGUUAAAAAAGUCAGAUCCUAGGCUGACAUGGUGAAGAUUUGGGCCUAAUUUUUCUUCUUUUAGGUGCAGGGUCUCUGUUCUAGUGCCUAAGUCUUUGAUCCACUUUGAGUUGAUUUUUGUUCAGGGUGAGAGAUAGAGGUUUAAUUUCACUUUGCUACAUAUGGAUUUCCAGUUUUGCCAGCACUAUUUGUUGAAUAGGCUAUCUGUUCUCCAGUGAAUGUUUUUGGCACCUUUGUCUGGUAUGACGUAACCGUAUUUAUGUGGGUUUGAUGCUGUGUCCUCUGUUCUGUAUCAUGGGUCUAUGAGUCUAUUUUGGUGCCAAUACCAUGCUGUUUUCGUUGCUGUAGCUCUGUAGUACAGUUGAAGGUCUGGUAUUGUGAUGCCUCCUGCUUCACUCUUCUUGCUAAGGAUUGCUUUAGCUAUUCUGGGCCUCUUAUUUUUCCAAAUAAAUCUAAUGAUUGCUUUUUCUAUUUCUAUGAAGAAUGUCAUUGGGGUUUUCACAGGAAUUCAUUAAAUCUGUAUAAUGCUUUUGGUUUUAUGGCCAUUUUGACAAUAUUAAUUCUGCCUUAUCCAGGAGCAUGAGAUAUCUUUCCAUCUACUGAGGUUUCUUCAAUUUCUUUCUUUAGUGUUCUGUAGUUUUUACUGUAGAGGUCUUUCACCUCUUUUAUUAGAUUGAUUCCCAGGGUUUUUGUUUUUGAGGCUAUUGUGAAUGGGGUAGUUUUCCUAAUUUAUUUUUCAGUGGAUUCAUCACUGAUAGUAUAGGAAUGCAUUUGAUUUACGGGUGUUGAUUUUAUAUCCUGCUACUUUGCUAAAUUCAUUUAUUAGUUUUAGAAGUUUUCCGGUGGAAUUUUUGGAUCUUCUAGAUAGAGAAUGAUAUCAUCAGCAAAUAGUGAUGGUUUGAGUUCUUCUUUACCUAUUUGUGUCCCUUUAAUUUCUUUCUUUUGUCUAAUUGUUCUGGCUAGAAUUCCAAGGAUGUUGGAUAAAGUGGUGAAAGAAGACAUCCCUGUCUUGUUCCAGUUUUUAGAGGGAAUGCUUUCAAUUUUUCUCCAUUUAGAAUGAUGCUGGCCUUGGGUUUGACAUAUAUAGCUUUUACAAGGCUAAUGUAUGUUCCUACUUUGCCUAGUUUUUCUAGUGUUUCUAACACAGAGGUGUGCUGUAUUUUGUCAAAUGCAUUGUUUUGCUAACGGCUCAGUUCAGCUUCUGUACCCCUGCUUGCUUGCUGCUAUGCCAACUGGGGUAUGGUUUUUGUGGGUUUUGCCUUUAAUGAUCCUAAAACACUCAGACUCAGGGCUAUUCCUCACAGAGACAGUUAUGAGUCCUGUAAGGAGUAGUCACAGGCUGGCUGGCUAAAUAAAGACUCUCCAAUUUGGACAAAAUGGACUUGGUAUAUUUUCAGAGCAACCUGUCCCAUAACAAUUAUAUCUAGUAGAAGGACAAGUAUCUAUCUCUCUGCCCUGCCUAUUGGACAAGCCAGCUUUGUACCUAUCUGUAAAUUCACUCCAGCAUUCUUUCUCCUUUCAUAUUCACAAACAUGAAGUCUCUGAAUUGCCUUUCAAGUCUGUUGUAAUACCUACGGAUUCCCUCAAUUAGAGUCAUACAAAACCUUGGUUAUCUAUAUAAGAUAUAAACAUCCUUUAACUUUAUUAAAGUCAUGAUUUUACUGUUGAAAAAAACUAUGUUUUAAAAUGAUAAAAGUAACUUGGAGAAACUUACCCUCCCCCCAGAUAAAAAGUAUUAUGAACUGAUUAGAUAUAAAAACAUAGUGGAAUGAAUGCAUACAAUGAUUGAAAGAUCAAUGCAAUGAUUAAAAUCCAAGCUGUACCCAAAUUAGCUACAAUAAAUUGGUAAUAAAAUAAUUCUUUUUUUAAAUCUUAGUAUCACUGGU